AUGGGGGGACCAUCCUCCAAGGCUAAAUACUCCUAACUGACCGAUAGUGAACCAGUACCGUGAGGGAAAGGCGAAAAGAACCCCGGCGAGGGGAGUGAAAUAGAACCUGAAACCUUGUGCUUACAAGCAGUCGGAGCAGACUUGUUCUGUGACGGCGUACCUUUUGUAUAAUGGGUCAACGACUUAAUUUCAGUAGCAAGCUUAACCAAUUAGGGUAGGCGUAGGGAAACCGAGUCUUAAUAGGGCGUUUAGUUGCUGGAAUUAGACCCGAAACCGGGUGAUCUAUCCAUGGCCAGUGUGAAGGUCGAGUAACAUCGACUGGAGGCGCGAACCCACUUAUGUUGAAAAAUGAGGGGAUGAGCUGUGGAUAGGAGUGAAAGGCUAAUCAAACCCGGAGAUAGCUGGUUCUCUUCGAAAACUAUUUAGGUAGUGCCUCGUGUAUUACCGUAGGGGGUAGAGCACUGUUUCGGCUAGGGGGUCAUCCCGACUUACCAAACCGAUGCAAACUCCGAAUACCUACGAGUAUGAGCACGGGAGACAGACUGCGGGUGCUAACGUCCGUAGUCGAGAGGGAAACAACCCAGACUGUCAGCUAAGGUCCCUAAUUAUGGUUAAGUGGGAAACAAUGUGGGAAGGCACAAACAGCUAGGAGGUUGGCUUAGAAGCAGCCAUCCUUUAAAGAAAGCGUAAUAGCUCACUAGUCGAGUCGGCCUGCGUGGAAGAUAUAACGGGGCUAAACCAUAAACCGAAGCUACAGAUCUUAAAUUUAUUUAAGAUGGUAGAAGAGCGUUCUGUAAGCGGCUGAAGGUAAGCUGAAAGGCGAACUGGACGUAUCAGAAGUGCGAAUGUUGACAUGAGUAACGAUCAAAGAGGUGAAAAACCUCUUCGCCGAAAAACCAAGGGUUCCUGUCCAACGCUAAUCGAGGCAGGGUGAGGCGGCCCCUAAGGCGAGGGCGAAAGCCGUAGUCGAUGGGAAACAGGUUAAUAUUCCUGUACUUUUUACAACUGCGAUGGGGUGACGGAGAAGGUUAGGCUAGCACGGCGACGGUUGUCCGUGUUUAAGGCAGUAGGCUGGUGUUUUAGGUAAAUCCGGAACACUAAGGCUGAGAGCUGAUGACGACCACUCUAUGAGUGGGAAGUAGUCGAUACCAUGCUUCCAGGAAAAACCUCUAAGCUUCAGGUUGUAAGAAACCGUACCCUAAACCGACACAGGUGGUUAGGUCGAGUAGACCAAGGUGUUUGAGAGAACUAUGGUGAAGGAACUAGGCAAAAUAGCACCGUAACUUCGGGAGAAGGUGCGCCGCGGUUGGUGAUGAGACUUGCUCUCUAAGCUGAACGUGGUCGAAGAUACCAGGUGGCUGCGACUGUUUACUAAAAACAUAGCACUCUGCAAACUCGUAAGAGGACGUAUAGGGUGUGACGCCUGCCCGGUGCCGGAAGGUUAAUUGAUGGGGUUAGCUUAUGCGAAGCUCUUGAUCGAAGCCCCGGUAAACGGCGGCCGUAACUAUAACGGUCCUAAGGUAGCGAAAUUCCUUGUCGGGUAAGUUCCGACCUGCACGAAUGGCGUAACGAUGGCCACACUGUCUCCACCCGAGACUCAGUGAAAUUGAAAUCGCGGUGAAGAUGCCGUGUACCCGCGGCUAGACGGAAAGACCCCGUGCACCUUUACUAUAGCUUCACACUGGACUUUGGCUUAAUUUGUGUAGGAUAGGUGGGAGACUUUGAAGCAGCGACGCUAGUCGUUGUGGAGUCGUCCUUGAAAUACCACCCUGAUUACGUUGAGGUUCUAACUCAGGUCCGUUAUCCGGAUCGAGGACAGUGUGUGGUGGGUAGUUUGACUGGGGCGGUCUCCUCCCAAAGAGUAACGGAGGAGUACGAAGG
rnacentral:rRNA from 1 species